rnacentral:rRNA from 1 species
CAGAGUUUGAUCCUGGCUCAGGACGAACGCUUGCGGCGUGCCUAAGAAAUGCAAGUCGAACGGUGGCAACACAGUGGCGAACGGUCGCGUAACACGUAGGCAACCUGCCUCGAAGUGGGGGACAACAGUCCGAAAGGACUGCUAAUACCGCAUGUGGUUCUCGGGAGGCAUCUUCUGAGAUCUAAAGCUUAAUGUGCUUCGAGAUGGGCUUGCGGCCUAUCAGGUAGUUGGUGGGGUAAUGGCCUACCAAGCCGACGACGGGUAGCUGGUCUGAGAGGACGAUCAGCCGGAUUGGGACUGAGAUACGGCCCAGACUCCUACGGGGGGCAGCAAUUAGGAAUCUUGCGCAAUGGGGGAAACCCUGACGCAGCGACGCCGCGUGCGGGAUGACGGCCUUCGGGUUGUAAACCGCUUUUGCCAGGGAAGAAGAAUGUGACGGUACCUGGUGAAUAAGCCCCGGCUAACUACGUGCCAGCAGCCCCGGUCAA